rnacentral:rRNA from 1 species
GUCUAUUAGUUGCCAUCAUUCAGUUGGGCACUCUAGCGAGACUGCCGGUAAUAACCGGAGGAAGUGGGAUGACGUCAAAUCAUCAUGCCCCUUAUGACCUGGGCUACACACGUGCUACAAUGGUUGGUACAACGAGUUGCGAGUCGGUGACGGCGAGCUAAUCUCUUAAAGCCAAUCUCAGUUCGGAUUGUAGGCUGCAACUCGCCUACAUGAAGUCGGAAUCGCUAGUAAUCGCGGAUCAGCACGCCGCGGUGAAUACGUUCCCGGGCCUU